UACAGAGGUGGCAAGCGUUGUUCGGAAUUACUGGGCGUAAAGGGCGCGUAGGCGGUUCGUCAAGUCCUGUGUGAAAUCCCCCGGCUCAACUGGGGAACUGCACAGGAAACUAGCGGGCUUGAGUUCGGGAGAGGGAAGCGGAAUUCCGGGUGUAGCGGUGAAAUGCGUAGAUAUCCGGAGGAACACCGGUGGCGAAGGCGGCUUCCUGGACCGACACUGACGCUGAGACGCGAAAGCUAGGGGAGCAAACGGG
rnacentral:rRNA from 1 species